UGCCAGAUAGCUCAGUCGGUUGAGCAUGAGACUCACAAUCUCAGUGUUGUGGGUUCGAGACCCACAUUGGACAA